CUCUAUUAUCGUAACACAAGAUAAGAUUUGGCAAUUAUACCACUGCGGGCGUUCUAGUUACGAACGGGUGAAAUGUCGACGCGCUUGUUUACUAUGCGAAGUUCGAACUGUCGUGCUGUUAAUGCGCCAAAACAACGUGUCUAUUAUCUGAAUAAGAGACACUCAAAUUUUAAUGUAUUUCUAAUGUAACAUUUUGUUUUUCUCUUCUAUCUCUUAAGGAGAUAGAUGAUGCGACUCCGCAGGAAAUCGAAAAAUUCCAUUUAACUUAUCGCUUAGGUUUCCAACAUUCCAGAGAUGAAAGAUUAACGUCCUUUCUGGAAAGUAUAUCUCCACAUCAAAGAGAAGCUCUGAGCUUGUAUUGGCCUAGAGACUGCAGAUUAAAAAUUGCAGAUUGAAGUUUAGCUUUCGAAGAAUCAACAAACUUCGAUCCUGGCUUGUUUUGUUCUAAGUCGAGUUCCGCACAAGCCGAGAGCCUUCAAUCCGCACAAUCCUCAGUCUCCAAACUAUCUGAUACAAACAUUAGCGAAUUCUAAUUAAACUGGCGAAAUUGCCAGGAGCAAUUGCCAACUAUGUAAUUUGUUAUUCAACAAUAUAUAUAAAUCAAAGAAUUAAUAAUUCUACAUAUCACCAAUAUAGCAGGUAAUAAUUGCUCAGGGUAACAAUUCUCAAGAUAAAUUCCUUAAUGCACAAAUAUCCAGAGGACAUCGUAAUCUCUGAUUAUGAGAAUGUUCUAAGCAUGUUUCUACAUCUUAAGAAUGUUUUCAGAUAAUCCCUAGAAGAUGUUCUAUUAAGGUUAUCAAGGAGUUUAAAGGAGGAGAGAAAAUUUCUUCACAAAUUCUACAUAUUCUAUGUUCUAUUUUAGCAAUUCUGUCGGCCAAAUUAACUGUCGAUCAGCUUUAAUAAGAUAGAAGUGAGGCCUUCAGAUGUGUUCUUAUCGCCGCUUGAAGCGUAUCAUUAGCGCGACAAGAUUGCGUAGAUGGCGAGUACGAUCCUGGCGAAAUCGUGUUAGAGCUGGGGAAGUGCGCGGCGGCGGCGCCCUACGGGCGCCACCGUGCCGCGGACGGCGGUUGGCACGACAGCAACAGCUACAGCAACUCUGAACAGUCGCGAGGAGAUCUCUCCCUGCCCCUUCCUCCUCCGCUUUUCGGAACCGUGCGCGUUCGUGCGACGGAUCGCGAUACUUGGACGGACCCUCCGAGUCGAAGCGAGCCGCGGAGGGUCGGCGCGGCACGGCGUGGCGCGGCGUGGCGCGGCGUGGCGCGAUGCGGCCCCUUGGAAAGGCGCGAAUGUCUAUGCGCGGCGCGUCACCGCGGAAUCUAGAACCUGGCUAGAAUCUGGAAUCUUUUUCUUCGUUCUUGAGCGCACGGAUAGCGGGAUACCACGAGACCACGUUCACGUAUCUUUCUCUGGUACCUCUUAGCGUUGCUCGCGUCACAUCACGGUAAUUAUCAGUAAAUAACUUGAAUACCGCGGUGCAUUGACGCGUCCAAGGGAUACAUUUUUGAGAGACGUCUGAAAAGACAUGUUACUUUCCUCAGAAACCUUUUCACGUCUUUUGAAUGUCCAUAAAACGUCUUUCAGAACUUCGUGUUGUCUCGCUUGCUUUCACGGUAAUUUGCGCGAAGUUGUCUACCUCGUCGGAUAAUAUUCGUCGAUUUGACUUGGCAUCUCGCGUCUUUGGAAUUGCGAUCACGCAAGGAGGCGUCUUAUCGAGUCUGUUUCACAGAAUGUAAGCGCUGCAAAAUUGUUGUCUCCCUUUCUUUUUUUUGUAGAAACAGAUGGAAGCGGACUUUUCGGCGAGAAUCGGAAAAAGCGACAAGUGUUCGCGAUUGAGCUCUACAGGGGUGCGCAUCACGCUGCGCUUUUAAGUAGCAACAUGCGGCGCGCAUGCUGCUAGCGCGUCAUGCGACUCUCGGCUUGACUUGGCACGGCGUGACCUGCUACGACGACGUGAGGGCCGUUCGUGCUUUCCGACAAACGACAACCUUUUCACGCCUGAGUCCCGUGGCGCGAUUCUCAACGGAACGUAUCAUGAAAUCUUCUCGGGCAGCGCGGGAGUCUUCCUUUUGUCGAUUUCGCCACGAGCUUCCAAUCUCAGCGUGAAUGCAAUGACAGAUUGAUUAAAAAAUCUUCCAUAAACAGGAAUAUACCGACGGAUGAAAUAUGUGUUUUGGGGGACGAGCUUUGAAUCAAUCUGACAUAUUGUUUGUGGUUUGCGCUGUUCUUGCGCUGUCGCGUAAGAACUCGUGGACAGAAUAAUGAGGAGCCUCGCAGAUCGACGGUACAUCAUGUAUAACGUCGCUAUUAGCCGUAUGGAACGUCGCGGCGCGACUUUGUGGAAAUUGCCGAUGCGCUGCGCGCUAUUUUCUCUGGAACAGCUCUUUCAGCUUAGCUUCAACUCAACUACUACGUCGUCGAUCUUCAGUACGACGCGGGAUUUAUCCCUGCCCCUCCCGCCACGGCGUCUAGCGUGCAGUUAUAAUGAUUUGCAGAUGCCGGCGAAAGAGACUCGCGAUAAAAGUCGCAAGCGUGCAAAGCGUGAAAGCGCCCGUGAAGACGGCGACGCCGCUUCCUUCGAUGGUCCACGGUGUCUUACGCGCAAUUUCUCGCAAUUAGCCUACUUGAAUGGGCCUCGCCUAUCGUUUAUUAUCAUUAUCCGCGAGCGGCCGGAAAUCGAUUCGAUUGCAUCGACGAUCGUGCAUGAAUUAAACGUUGCGCCAGAGACGCGAGGAGAGAGAGAGAGGAGGGGAACAGAAUUAAUCACUCUGUCCCGUGAUCUAUCGGCCGUUUCGCGGAAAGAUCGCGUCCGCCCGAUAAUGAUCCGCCUGCCUCCGGGUGGCUCGACGAUUGUGCUUUCGAUUAGAGCUUAAUUAUGAAUUAUUAAAGAUCGCCUCAUGGACGAGACAAUCGGCGAGCGCGACGACACCGAGUAACGUCGGCCGAUGAAUAUGCAUCGUCCACUCUGCCAGGGAGUCUCUCUAUUAUACCGCUUGUUGACCGAUGAAUGAUUGCUAAUUGUCGCGGAUAAUUACCGCAAGGCUGCUCGUUAACUGUGUCCGCCGUGUCUGCGAGGCGGCUCCGAAGAAGAAGAGCGACCUCGAGUAAACGACUAGAUGUUGGAUCGCUCGUCGAGGGUUACUUCGAUAUUGUUGGUCCUUGUCUUCUUUCUCCGAGAAACGUGGAAAAAUAAUCUCGCGCGGGUAUUUGGGCUGCUGGAAUAAAUUAGAUCGCGACGUGAAACUGCCGAGACGCGUUUGCAUUCUCCUCCGAUUUUACAAAGGACCGUAAGCGGAUUUCGCGAAAUCGCGGCGGCCAUCUCUUAUUCAUGAACGCCUCGGGUCGGUGAUCAUGUUGGCCCGCUAAAGGAGAGGACAGAGAGAAAGAGAGAGAGAAGGAGAAGAAGACGGCUUUUGAACGGCGUUAACGAAAAACGACGAGCUUCGAACCGGAUUUUGGGAUUAGAAUCAGAUACCCGUUCUCGGGAGCAUCACGAGGCCACGUCCGCUCGUUUUAUGCGGGCGAGGGCGACGGAGAUCUCGCCUCUGCCACGUAUCGUCAAUGCGCGCUGGAGAGCUUCGAGGAACCGGGCGACAAUGGGUAACAAAGAAGAGCGAGAUCGUCCAUGCUCCUCCUACGGCACGAAAUCACGUUCCAUUCGUCUCGCUUGGAAAUAUAUUACUCUGGCCGGGCAACGGACGAACCGCCAAAAAGGAAGACUGCCGUCGGCUUGUUGUGCACCGACGUGACGCGGCGAAACACAAUUACCACGAUCGAAUCUCUCUCUCUCUCCACUUCUCUACUCUUUGGUUGUUAUUUCACCCCCCGUCACGGGCCGAGAAUGUGAUCCUUCGUAGUGUUAUUUCUGAUGAUCCUCUUUGACAUCGGCAUGUAGCGAAUCGUAUUGUCAAAGAAGAGCCUUCGAUGAGCACUUUUUUCCGAGCCAAGAAUUGCAUUUAUAUUGCAUUCUCCAGCGUAAGCUCGAAAAAGUGGACUUUAAUAUAUUGGGGAUUCCCUUGUGCUGGGAUUCUAUAACUCGUUAGUGCAGUUAACGACAGUUUUGUUAUUGUUGCACAGCUUUUCUACGGUAUACAAAAACUGCGCAACGAUGACGGAACUGUCGUUAACUCUAAUAACGAGUUACAGAAUUCCAGUACUGGAAAUUGUUUCGUCAGAAGAAAAUAAUUUUAAAAGGACCGCGAGAAUUCUUCCGGCUUGAGGAAGAGAAAAUAUCCUCCGAAUACGUCUAGAAAAAUCUACAGUAAGAUAUUUUAUCUGAGUUUACGUUGA